GGCCGACUAGCUCAGUUGGUUAGAGCGUCGUGCUAAUACUUGUUGGAAUAGACGACAUGUUAACGCGAAGGUCUUGGGUUCGAUCCCCACGUUGGCCA